AUGAUCUUCCCUCCCACCUUCCUAGAUUCAUCAAAUUGCUGGAACACCAACCACAACCAACCUCAGUUGCAGGAAAUCGGCAAUAACACUCAUAUCACCACUAUUCCCUCACCUGCUGGUCCUGAUGAUGGAGGAGGCAACAACAGCAAUGAGGGUGGGUUAAUGGCCACGGCCGGGGCCGGACGGGGAGAUCAUGGCGGUGUCGGUGCUGAGUAUGGCCAUGGAGGCAGCCGGAAUAGCAAGCCGAUGUCCAUGUCGGAUCGGGCACGAUUGGCGCGGGUGCCGCGGCCGGUGCCGGGGCUCAAUUGCCCACGCUGCGACUCCAUCAACACGAAGUUUUGCUACUUCAACAACUACUCCUUC
rnacentral:rRNA from 1 species